GACGAACGCUGGCGGCGUGCUUAACACAUGCAAGUCGAACGAAGUGGCGAACGGGUGAGUAACGCGUAAUAAACCUGCCCUUCAGAGGGGGACACCAGUUGGAAACGACUGCUAAUACCGCAUACUGAAGGAGGGGACUGCGUCUGCUUAGCUCGUAGGAGGGGUAACGGCCCAACAAGGCGAUGAUCAGUAGCCGGUCGGAGAGGGUGAACGGCCACAUGGGGACUGGGACACGGCCCAGAAUCCUACGGGGGGCAGCAGUGGGGAAUCUUCCGCAAUGGACGAAAGGCUGACGGAGCAACGCCGCGGGAGUGAUGACGGCCUUCGGGUUGUAAAGCUCUGUUAAUCGGGACGCGGUACCGGAAUAGAAAGCCACGGCUAACUACGUGCCAGCAGCCGCGGUAAUAC
rnacentral:rRNA from 1 species